rnacentral:lncRNA from 1 species
UUGAACAUUUGCUUGUACUCAAUUAAAAACUAACAAAAACUCAAAAACUAGUGGAAAGGUAUUAUAACGCAGGAACUCACAUAUCAUUUAUAAUGUCAUCUCACCACUACCUAAUGCAAGCCACAUCAAUAAGCACAAACUUCAAAAAGGCACUUCCAUGUAUUUGAUCCUAACUUAGCAACCUAAUCAUUUUCAAUCGAC